UGAUGAUGUGAUCGUACUAUGAUUCAGACAUUGGGUGCGACUUGAGUUCGAGCCGGAUUUGCGUGGUUUUGGAUAGGUUUAGAUAUUUUAGUUAUUGAGAUAUUUUAGAUAUUAUUUUCUGUUUUAGAUUUUUUUAGAUUUACCUGAAUAUUAGUUCUUUUUGGUAAUAACGUUAUUGUUUUGAGUUGUUCGUAGAAAACUCUAUAAAGUUGGCCUUGACCAUCUGUAUGAGAGAGGUUAAUUAUUAUGAAAUUCCACUUUUUCGACAAAUGUCCUCGGAUAUUUUCCUUCGCGAUUUUGCGUAGACCGGAGUGAGUCCGUAGGGAGUGAGUCCCUUUAUUUUAUUCGUUUGUUUUUUCUCUUUGAUUUGAUUAUCUUCUUGCGAAAUUCUGACGUCGUUUGAGCAAGAAACAAAAGGAGAAACUUAUUGGAUCGUUUUCGUUAACGGGUUCAAACUAGCGAAAACACGGUCCAUUAAGGGCGUGUUUGGUUCGCUUCUUUUUCACCAUGGAAUCGGAAUCGGAAUGGGUGAAUCCGUUUGUGGGUGUUUGGUACGCGGGAGUCCCAUUCCGAUUCCGAUUCCCGAGUGGAAUGGGAAUGCCCCAAUCACCCAUUUUUUCAAUCCGGUCUAGGAGGCCGGAUUGAAAGUUAGGAGGCCGGAUUGAAAGUUGAAUCCGGACGGAAUGGAUAUUUAUUCGAAUUAAAUUUAUUUUUUCAACUUUUUAAAUUAAAAUAUAAGUUAAAUUUUAAAAAUUAAAUAUAUAAUUUUAAAUUUUAAUUUGAACUUAAAUUAAAAAUUAAAAUUUAAUCAAGUAUUUUGAAUCUAACUUAUGAAUUUGAAUUUAAAUUAAAUUUUAAUUUAUAUGAAGUUUAUUCAAAUUUUAUUUCAAACUUAAAUUAAAUUUAUGGAUUCAAAUUAAAAUUUAAAUUGUAAUUUUAAAUUUGAAUUUGAAUAAAUAAAAUUUUAGUUUCAUAUUUUGAAUUAUCCACUCAACUUCAAAGAUUAAUUUAUUUUAAAAAAAUAGAUUUAAAAAUUUGAUAUUAUUUAAAAAUUUUGAUGUAAAUUUUUAAUAUUUAAUUUUUAAUUUGAAUUUAAAUUAAUAUAUUAUAAAGAUAAUGUUCGUAUAUUAAUUUGAUUACGUUUUUUAUAUCUACCUGAACCAAACACCAACAAUAGGAAUGAUUUAUUCCGAUUCCGAUUCAGGUGAUGAACCAAACGGAAUUCGGUAAUGAGCCAUUCCGAUUCCGAUUCCAGCUUAUUUUGAUUCCGAUUGCGAUUCCAACUCCGACUUUGAACCAAACACGCCCUAAGAUUCUUAACACCUAGUUCUCCAAGCCGUACGCCUUUCAACAAAAAAAAAAAAGAACAUCUGCUUGGAUUAUGAGACGGGUCUUCGGCAGACUCGCCUGACGACCCCAUCUGCUCACGUGCCAUCAACGAGGGGACUCGCCGUUUGCUUUAGCCGUCGCUCUCAACCUUCGACCGUACCGUCACGAGUCGAUCGCUGGGACUCGACCGUGACAUCCUUGGGGCCACAUUUGGUAAGCACUUGGGUUUACGAAGUUAUGGAGUUGCGGGUUGAGGCGUUCCAUUAGGUUGGAGUCGCUGUCAAGUCAACGGAGGUAAUUCCCUAGCAAUGGCCCAUGCCAUGGCAAGGAAGUGCCACAUGCGGGGCCUCAAAAUGUACCCCUUGGUGAGCACCUUUAUACUGCCGUGGUGCCAAAUGGGGAGGAUGCCUUGUAAGGUAUAUAGAGAAGGGGUGGACACGUCGUAAGUGGCCCCGACUCCCCCGUCGACCCAUAGGACAUGGGUUGUCCCUUGGCUAGCGAAGUGGCCAAGCCUAGCAUUCCGUGUGACCGGGUAUUGGACGGUCGAAGGGACACGGGCCUAGGGUAAUGUCGGAGACGCCAGGUCGACGACAUUACGUAGUGGGGAAUACCGGGAGGCUUUCCUCCUAGGAUCGCUUGCGCUACCUUAUGCCGGCUUGGAUCUCUGUAGUGGAGCGAACGAGCGGAUGAGGAUAGUCUUGCGACGAAUGGCCCGCCAUAUAGGGCAAGGCUCGCAAAGACAAGUGUGCCAAGCGGGGAUUCGUGAGGUGUGGCGCCUGCGAAGGCCUAAAGAGGCAUAACUCAAUAGGAUCAUUAAAGAGGGGCACGCCGAAGGAGAAUUUGUGGGGCGCGAUGCCUACGAGACUUGAGGGGCGGAACCCUAUGGGGCAAGCGGUAUCGGCAUCCGUAAAGUGAACCUUGAGAGAUUGGACCAAUGGUGGUAGCGACCAGGCAUGGUCGAGCCAUGGAGAUACUAGAUGGCUAGUGAAGCGGAGCGAGGCCGACUUGUUGGGAUGGAGCCUUAUGAGGCGAACCUAAGGAGAUCGAGGGCGCAGAGUGCCAUGGCAAAGCGAGGGCUGUGUGGACGGUCGAGAAGCACGGUGUGGACUUGUUGGCUUCCUUUGCCAGGAGCGAUGGGACACGAGAGCUGCACAGGUUGGAUGCAAAGCACGGAAGUGCGGAUCAUGGGCGUGCGGGGUGUCACGCUAAGUCGCCAGCAUUGGGAGACAAGUGAGCUUGUGGCACACACUAGGGUGGCUUAUCGGAUGGAUGCCGUCGGACCGAGCGAGCAGGCCGCGUAUGCGGUAUGGCCGUAGGCGCUCCAGGUGCAUGAGACGAGACGGAGAAGGAUUUAUACUCAUGAGUGCCCUUCGUGACAUGGGAUGUUGCGAAGCCCGGACCUUGACGCUAGAGGCGUGCGGAUUAAGUCGCGGGAGCGAAACGCGUGGGAGGCGAGACGCUUGGCUAUACUCAUAUUGGACAAGUUGGGGGAGAACUUGUGAUGUCCUUAGGGCUAGCGGUGGAGGCAACAAGGCAUUCGGCUAUAGAGUACUCUCGAGGAGAGUUUGGCUGGCGAAACGGGAUGCACCUAGCUUGGUGGCCAACCUCGGUAUUGGGGUUGCUCGUUGGGAACUCGAGGAGUCCAACGAGGGGUUCGAUUACAGGCGAGGGGUCGGCUAUAAGUCUCGCAGAGGAGCAAGCUUGGCAAAAUGCUUGGAUUGGUAUUCCGUUGUUAAGUUUGCAAGACAUGUCCGUGUUAAGGACUUGGGAAGGCUGGCUCGGGUGUGCGACACUUGAGCGCUGCGUGGGAAUUUUCAAGGCGAAAAAGCUAACCCCGUGACAGUACGCCCUUCUCGUCCGUAACAUCAACCUCUUUGAGAUUGCGCCUGCACCAUCUUUCGACCAAUGCAUUAUUGAGGAUCUCUCGUCAUCUUUCUCUCUGCUGAAUAUUUCUCUAACCCUAACCGUUUCUAUCUUUUAUUAUUUUUCUUCCUACCGUUCCCUUUAUCUAAGACUCUUUCUCGUCACAGAUGGUGCUCCAGCAGAAACGACAUUGGAUUGACCUUUAGGAAUUUGACGGCUCCUGUUCAGCGCUCGCGAUUACUAAUCCCGCCUACGGAUUUCUUGAUGUACAACUUUCCAUCUCGUUCUCUGUUUUAAAUCCAAUCUUUUUAUAUGGGUUUUAUUGCUUCGUUUAUGAUUUUCAAUAUUCAUAAAUUAUUUUUUUUACGCAUUUGUGUUUAAGUCUCGCUGAGCCAAAACAUAUAGUUGUAUUAGAGAGUUUCAGAUCAAUAAGAUUUUGCUUUCAAUUUGAGAUUUGGAUUUCUAAACUUCUUCCCCUUCAUGAGAUUUGGGAUCAGAGCUUUAGGUUUGCGUCAUGACAACUAGAUCAGGGCUAUAGUUUAGGAAUCCUAAUCUUGAUGACCAAAAUGAUCCCAUUAAACAAAUUAUGGAAAAAUUAAAUGAAUUAUCAACUGACAUUCAAGACAUUCGAGAUAGGGUUACCAGCCUAGAGACAAAACUCUGAGAGACUUUCUGCACAAAAUAAUGUCAUUAUGGAAAUAGAUCCACAAGCAUCAGCAUCACGCACUCCACAAGCACGUGAAAUUCAGCACAUUGCUAGAACUAACCCUAUUUUUCGAGAAAGCGGAACUACUGUUUUUCAAGAUGACAUAAGAAAGAAAGUUAAAAUUGACGCACCCACUUUUGAUGGAAAAUUUGGUCCUAAGGCAUUCGCAGAUUGGCUCGUUGACAUGGACCAGUAUUUUGACUGGUAUGAAAUGUCUGAUAACCGACGAGUCUGUAAAAUGAAACUCAUUGGCGCCGCCAAACAAUAUUGGAUUGGCAUCGAAAGGCACUUAGAACGGCUUGGCCAAGAGCCUAUCACUUUGUGGGCAGAAAUAAAGGCUAAAUUGAGAGAGAAAUACUUGCCAUCCACGUACAAGCAACGGUUGUAUGAUCAAUUGAAUGCUGUUCGGCAAGGUUCUCUUUCAGUUGCCGAAUAUAUGGCCGAAUUUAAUGAGAUGAAUAUCCGUUGUGAUGUUCAAGAGUAAGAACAACGAACCUUUUCGCGAUUCCGUAAUGGGUUGCGCGAGGAAUUGCAGUGCGAAAUUGUGCCACAUAGGGUUGCCACUGUUGAGCAACCUUUCCGCUUGCCUUAGAAUAUGAAAAAUAUUUAAAGGUACCAGCUCGACGAUUCACAGGAAAAUGGACUGAUAAAAACACAAGAAACAUGGGUAUGAAUUUUAACACUAACAAAACAAACAAUUUUCAAAAUUGACAGAAUCAAGAUUCUAAGGGAAAGAGUUUAGUUACAGAUGAAACCAAACGAGGAAAUGCACAGGGUAGGUGUUUUAACUAUCAAAAAAUGGGUCAUUAUGCUUAUGAGUGCCUAAGGCAGAACAUGCAUGUUCAGCUAGAUGGUGAAGAUUUUGAAGAUUUAGAGAAAGUCACGCACAGAGACGAUGAAAUUCCCAGUGAUGAAUAGAUGCUAGAAUCAAAAGAAGCGUUUGAUGAAAAUACUACUUUACAAGUCAUGUGUUGUGUCCUAACCCAACCUAGAAAUGAAGACGAUUGGAGACGCACUUCCAUUUUUCACACCUACACAAAAUGUAGGGAUAAAAGUUGUAAGGUCAUCAUUGAUGGCGGUAGCUGCAUCAAUGUAAUUUCUGAAGCUGCAAUAGGGCGUCUAAACUUUAAAACUGAGCCACACCCUAAUCCCUACAAGGUUGCGUGGGUUGAUAAGACAAUUAUGCCCAUUAUAAAACGUUGUUUGGUCCCGCUUAACUUUGCUACCUAUUCGGACCAGAUUUGGUGUGAUGUCCUUCCAUGGAUAUCGCUCUCGUACUUUUAGAAAGACCCUGGCUAUAUAACCUUUCUGUUAUACAUUAUGGUCGACCUAACACCUAUGUUUUCGCCUACCAAACCCUCUUAACAGAAGUUAUCAUCAAAAGGCUCAAAGUUUUCAAAAGAUCCGAGUCCAAGUUCAGUUAAAGUUUCAAAAACCCCCCAUCACAAAUUGAAACAACAAAGCAUCUUCACAUUCUCAAUAGAAAAUAAUUUUCCAAAGAAAUUGAUUUUAAUAUUGUUUAUGCUUUAGUCGUCAAGGAGAUUCCUAAUUCAUCUGAACCUUUUGAAACCCCUUUAAUGAUCAAAACCCUAGUUGCUGAAUUUAGCGACUUCGCACCUGAAGAAUUGCCCAAUAAACUUCCCUCACUUAGGGAUAUACAACAUGCAAUAGAUCUAGUCCCAGGUUUAUUUUUACCAAAUUUACGAUAUUACAGAAUGAACUCGAAAGAGCACGCUGAAUUGAAAUGUCAGGUAGAUGAUUUGAUUAGAAAGGGUUUUGUAAGAGAGAGCAUGAGUCCAUGCGCAAUACCAGCAUUACUCACACCAAAAAGGAUGAAAGUUAGCGCAUGUGCGUUGACAGCCGUGCUAUUAAUAAAAUCACAACUAAAUACCGGUUUUCAAUUCCACGUUUGGACAACAUGCUAGAUAUGAUGACUAGAGUGACCAUUUUUACAAAACUUGAUCUUCAUAGUGGUUACCAAUAGAUUCAGCUCAGGCCUAAAGAUGAGUGAAAAACCGCGUUUAAAACAAAAGAAGGUUUGUUUGAGUGGCUAGUCAUGCCAUUUGGCUUGACAAAUGCCUCGAGUACGUUCAUAAGGGUCAUGAACCAAGGUUUUAGACCUUUUAUUGGCAAUUUUUUGGUCGUGUAUUUUGAUGAUAUCUUGAUUUAUAGCCGUCCAAUGAUGAACAUUUAGAUCAUAUCCGCCAAGUUUUUGAAGUUUUAAAGAAAGAAUUUUUUCAUUCACAUUAAAAUUGCACUUUCAUGCAACCUCAAGUCAUAUUUUUGGGAUUUAUUGUGUCCAAAGAAGGGAUAUCGGCUGACCCAAAAAGGGUGAGAGCAAUUAGGAAAUGGCUCGAGCCUAAAGAUAUUCAUGAUGUUAGGAGUUUUCAUAGCCUAGCAACUUUCUAUCGUAGGUUCAUUAAAAACUUUAGUACUAUAAUGGAAGCUUUCAAAGAAAUCAAAGAGAAAAUGACAAAAGCACCGGUUUUAAAAUUGCCUGAUUUUGAAAAGGUUUUCGAAGUUUCUUAUGAUGCCUCAGGGGGCUACAAUAGGCAGAGUUUUAAAUCAAGAAGGUCAUCUUAUAGCCUAUUUCAGUGAAAAAUUGAAUAAGGCCAAACAAAAGUACUCUACUUAUGGUAGGGAAUUGUAUGCGAUAGUUCAAGCAUUAAAAUUUUGGAGACACUAUUUAUUACCUAGAGAGUUUAUUUUAUUUUCCGAUCAUCAAGCUCUUAGAUACCUGAAUUCCCAAAAGAAAUUAAAUCUGAGGCACACAAAGUGGGUUGAGUAUUUGCAAGAAUACACUUUUGUGUUAAAACAUCGAACCGGAGUAGAAAAUAAAGCUGCUAAUGCAUUGAGUCGACUUGUAGCAACCUCAAAUAAUGUUGGCGUGAAUGUAAUUGGGUUCGAUAGUAUUAAGGAAGAAUAUCCCUCAUGUCCGGACUUUAGCGAGAUCUAUUCUUCAAUUUUAGAGGCAAACCAACCAACACUAAUUUUGUCAUUCGGGACAGAUUUCUUUCUCGGAGUAGUUGUUUAUGUGUUCCGCAAGGUUCUUUGCAAGAUUUCAUUGGGUAGGAAUUACACGCAGGAGGAUUGGCCGGACACUUUGGUCGAGACAAAACCAUUUCUAUGGUUGAGGAUCACUUCUAUUGGCCAAGUUUCAAAAAGAAUGUUACACGCAUCGUGGCAUGGUGUAGGACGUGUCAAAGGGCUAAAGGCGGUCGGAAGAAUGUAGGAUUGUACAUACCAUUAUCCGUACUCCAUUUUCCUUGGCAAGAUUUAAGCAUGGAUAUCAUUCUAGGUUUAUCGAAAACGAUUGGAAAGCACGAUUUGAUUCUUGUAGUCGACCAUUUUUCCAAAAUGGUACACUUCAUUCCUGGUCGUAAGACAUCAGAUGCUACUCAUAUUGCAAAACUUUUUGUGACUGAAAUUGUACAUCUUCAUAGAUUACCAAAAUUGAUCAUAACUGAUAGGGACUUUCUUUUUGUUAGUUAUUUCUAAAAAACCUUGUGGAAAAUCAUGAGUACAAAAUUGCUUGUCUCGUCUUCCCAUCACCCACAAACUGAUGUUCAAGCACAAACUAACAAUCAAACAGGAGUAGUCAAUAGGAGUUUGGGUAAUCUACUUCGAUAUCUUGUCGGUGAAAACAUUAAAAAUUGGGAUCUUAUUUUAUCACAAGCGGAAUUUGCAUAUAACAGUUCUGUAAAUCGAACAACUGGAAUGACUCCUUUUGAAAUAGUCACCGGAUAUAAUCCAAAGAAAACUAUUGAUUUGAUACCCCUCCCGAUAGAGCAUAUGCCAAGUGAAUAUGCAUUCUCAUUUGCUCAACACAUGCGAGACUUACAUAAUGAGAUUCGCAGAAAAAUAAUUUCGAGUAAUGAAAAUUAUAUAAGGGAUGUCGAUAAACACAGACGAGAAGUUGAAUUUAAUGCAGGAGACAUGGUGAUGUUUCGAGUUAGGCCUGAAAGGCUUCCGCAAAGGGCUAUUAGAAAAUUGCAUACAAAGAUCAUGGGUCCGUUUAAAAUUCUUAGGAAGAUUGGAUCUAAUGCCUAUCUAUUGGAAUUACCGUCUAGCGUGGGAAUUAGGCCCACCUUCAAUGUUGAGGACCUUACAUUAUUCUAUUCCUCUGAAAAUCAAGAUUCACUUUUUCCUUUGCCACCUUCACCUCUCGUUUCUAGAACCCAUUUGCAAAGAAAAGAUGAUAUUGAGGCAAUCCUUGACGACCAAAUAAUAUCCACAAAAAAUGAUGGAGAGUUUAGAUUUUUGGUUAAGUGGCUAUAUUGACCCAAAGAGGACGCAACAUUGAUUUCCCGAGGUGAACUUCAACAACUCAAUCCGAAGCUUUAUGAGGAGUACAUUGUUGUCAAUUCGACGGAGUCGAAUUUUUCGAAGAAAUGGAAAAUUGAUGCGGACAGGGCCUAUUUUAGAUUUAUACCCGCCGCCGUCGAAAACCCAGUAUCUGGCUUGAUGACGUGAUCGCACCAUGAUUCAGACAUUGGGUGCAACUUGAGUUCGAGCCGGAUUUGCGUGGUUUUGGAUAGGUUUAGAUAUUUUAGUUAUUGAGAUAUUUUAGAUAUUAUUUUUUGUUUUAGAUUUUUUUUAGAUUUACUUGAAUAUUAGUUCUUUUUGAUAAGAACUUUAUUGUUUUGAGUUGUUAGUAGAAACUAGAAAA
rnacentral:lncRNA from 1 species